rnacentral:rRNA from 1 species
UGGGGAAUAUUGGACAAUGGGCGCAAGCCUGAUCCAGCCAUGCCGCGUGAGUGAUGAAGGCCCUAGGGUUGUAAAGCUCUUUCACCGGUGAAGAUAAUGACGGUAACCGGAGAAGAAGCCCCGGCUAACUUCGUGCCAGCAGCCGCGGUAAUACGAAGGGGGCAAGCGUUGUUCGGAUUUACUGGGCGUAAAGCGCACGUAGGCGGACUUUUAAGUCAGGGGUGAUAUCCCGGGGCUCAACCCCGGAACUGCCUUUGAUACUGGAAGUCUUGAGUAUGGUAGAGGUGAGGGGAAUUCCGAGUGCAGAGGGGAAAUUCGUAGAGAUUCGGAGGAACGCCAGUGGCGAAGGCGGCUCACUGGACUAUUACUGACGCUGAGGUGCGAAAGCGUGGGGAGCAAACAGG